AUAAUAGGAUUGUUGCUCAAGUAUUUAUUGCAAACACUUGAAUCAGUAAGGAUGAAUGAGCCACAACUUCAACAUUGUUGGGUUGAUUUCCGUAGCUGUUGAUGAAAGCAAUUCCUCAUUCAUAUGAGUUUUUUUUCCCUAGGAUCCUCUGUUCUGGUAUUUUGAUGACCUCGUACUUGAUGGAGCUGGGUACAGAUGUGUUAUUACAAUUAUCUAUCAUAAGCUAGGAAGCACGGACAUGGACAUGGGUAUAGGUAGGACAUGGCGACACGAAUAAUUUCUGAAAAAUUAUAACAUGAAAUGGCUGGUAUGAAACAAAUCCAACACAGGUACAACACUCUAAAUGAAGUGUCUUUACUUCCUAGGUUAUAAGCAAAUUCUAAUCUUCACCCUACUUCUUCAUUUAAAUGAGCAUAUAAUACAAUAUAUCUCUUGUAACUGAUGUGAAAAAAAAAGGAUGUUAUCUGUAACGUGAAAAUAAAUAUUCCUUGACUUUGACAAGGUACAAAUAUAUUAAGCAAAAACUGGGAAUUUUGACCCUUAUCAUGGCAUGAAGGGAGUAUACGUUUUCUUAGUUCUUGAAAUUGCUUUUCCUACAUUUGGGCUGGGGCUAGGGCUGCUGAUAGCACAGUGAGGUAAUUGCUUUAAAAAAUGACGCAGUGUGCAAGCAAUGCAUAUCUUGACAUCUAAGAAAGGUAUAAUUUGAUUUGCUGCUGGAAUUUGUCAUUAAAUUUUCGCAUCAUGAGUCAUCCCUGAUUAUGUAUUUGACAGCCACUAUAUUAAUAAUGUAAUGGACUUAACUAUUAGCUUAAUUGGCCACAAACAAACACAUAGGUACCUUGUUAAUGUUAUUACUUUCAAGUGUUAGAACAUUCAACCAGAAACAGAUUAAUGUUAUCGUCUUAUUUUCCCAUGAUCUGCCCAUGUUUGUGUGUGUCAGCAGUGUCGUAUCCAUGGCCUUGUUCUUGUUCAUGCUGCAUGAAUUUUAAGUUGAAAAAUAAGGUUUGGAGAUAUUAGAAAAAAAAAAUUAAUGUGGUUUCUGUGUUUUGAUUAAGUUGUUUUAAUUCUAUUGUUUUCGGCAUUAUAAUUUUAUGAUUCUGUCUAAUUCUUUUCUUUCUCAAACAUAAACUGAACUAAAUUUUGGGUGGUUCUCUGAAGGAAUGGUUAAUGAUCCUUAUGGUGGAUUUUUCAUUGCAGAGAACAAAUCUUUUCAAAGUGUUUGCUCAUGUGCUGAGAGUGACUAGUCUUUGAUGUAUAUGUUAUGAUAUUUUUUCCCGAAACGGAUAAUCCAGCACCAUUGCUCCGGCACCAUUGCUUUCUCCUUGAUAAGUGUCUCGGUGAACAUUUGCUUCUUUAGCCUGUGUGAAGCCAUCGGGCACCAUCUUUUUGGUACACAUUCCCUGAAGAGUACAUAUUAAAGUUAAAAGAGUUGUAGAGAAAGUGGAAAAGCUGAAAUUGAUGUGCCUACAGAAUAUAGCAGCAAGUCAGUGGUAAAUAAUUUGAAUGUUGUUGUUUGUUUUUAGGAUUUGUGAUUCUGUAAAUAUCUGUAAAAACAUGAAAUUGUUAUUAGCUUGUAUUGAUUUUUUUUC